CUUACACAUGCAAGUCGAACGGCAGCACGGGGGCAACCCUGGUGGCGAGUGGCGAACGGGUGAGUAAUACAUCGGAACGUGUCCUGUAGUGGGGGAUAGCCCGGCGAAAGCCGGAUUAAUACCGCAUACGCUCGAGAGAGGAAAGUGGGGGAUCUUCGGACCUCACGCUAAAGGGGCGGCCGAUGGCAGAUCAGCUAGUUGGUGGGGUAACGGCCUACCAAGGCCACCAUCUGUAGCUGCUCUGACAGGACGACCACCCCACUGCGACUGAGACACCCGCCACACUACUACGCCAGGCAUCACCUGGGGAAUUCUCCUCAAUGGGGGCAACCCUGACCCA
rnacentral:rRNA from 1 species